CACUCCUGUGAUGUGUCAGUUCUCCUUCUCAGGUGGCUGCUGUUGCCUCCAAGUGCUCCACUGUGCAGAGCCAGGCCACAAGGAGGAAGCCACUGUGACUGCCUACUUCCAGGAAGGAGAGGCACCAUUAGAUCUCCCUCAGGAACCUCGCUCCUCUCUACCAUCAUGCAGUUCUUCAGCAAAUACAGUCUUCUUCAGCUGUCAUCAUCAACCUACCUCUGAAAAUUAAAAAAAAAACACAAUAAUUCCAUCAGCCGGAGCAAGAGACGGGCAAGCGGUUCUCACACAAAGCUGUCUCCCCCAUCAUCCUGCUUCACCCUCCUCUCCCUGACUGUCAGCACAAGGUGGUAUUGGGCCAGAUCCAGGGAGAAGAUUGUGUCUGCAUACAAAAUACUCCAAAAACC